AUUGAACGCUGGCGGCAGGCCUAACACAUGCAAGUCGAGCGAGCGGCGGACGGGUGAGUAAUGUAUGGGGAUCUGCCUGAUGGAGGGGGAUCACUACUGGAAACGGUAGCUAAUACCGCAUACCAUCAGAUGAACCCAUAUUGGACUAGCUUGUAGGGGAGGUAACGGCUCACCUAGGCGACGAUCCCUAGCGGGUCUGAGAGGAGGAUCAGCCACACUGGGACUGAGACACGGCCCAGACUCCUACGUGAGGCAGCAGUGGGGAAUAUUGCACAAUGGGCGCAAGCCUGAUGCAGCCAUUCCGCGUGUAUGAAGAAGGCCUUCGGGUUGUAAAGUACUUUCAGUCGGGAGGCGUUACCGACAGAAGAAGCACCGGCUAACUCCGUGCCAGCAGCCGCGGUAAUUC
rnacentral:rRNA from 1 species